rnacentral:rRNA from 1 species
AGUGAACGCUGGCGGUAGGCCUAACACAUGCAAGUCGAACGGCAGCACAGUAAGGGCUUGCUCUUACGGGUGGCGAGUGGCGGACGGGUGAGGAAUACAUCGGAAUCUACUUUUUCGUGGGGGAUAACGUAGGGAAACUUACGCUAAUACCGCAUACGACCUACGGGUGAAAGCAGGGGAUCUUCGGACCUUGCGCGAUUGAAUGAGCCGAUGUCGGAUUAGCUAGUUGGCGGGGUAAAGGCCCACCAAGGCGACGAUCCGUAGCUGGUCUGAGAGGAUGAUCAGCCUCACUGGAACUGAGACACGGUCCAGACUCCUACGGGAGGCAGCAGUGGGGAAUAUUGGACAAUGGGCGCAAGCCUGAUCCAGCCAUACCGCGUGGGUGAAGAAGGCCUUCGGGUUGUAAAGCCCUUUUGUUGGGAAAGAAAAGCAGCAGGUUAAUACCCCGCUGUUCUGACGGUACCCAAAGAAUAAGCACCGGCUAACUUCGUG